rnacentral:rRNA from 1 species
AGUUCGGAUUGUAGUCUGCAACCCGACUACAUGAAGCUGGAAUCGCUAGUAAUCGCAGGUCAGCAUACUGCGGUGAAUACGUUCCCGGGUCUUGUACACACCGCCCGUCACACCAUGGGAGCCGGAAAUGCCCGAAGCCACUUAGCUAACCCUUUUGGGAAGCGAGUGUCGAAGGUGAAAUCAAUAACUGGGGUGAAGUCGUAACAAGGUACC